GACGAACGCUGGCGGCGUGCUUAACACAUGCAAGUCGUACGGUAACGCCCUUUCCGGGGUACACGAGUGGCUUCCGGGUGAUUAACACGUUAUUAACCUGCCCUCUACUUAGGGUUACCGCUAGCAAACUGGUGCUAAUUCUGGAUAUGUGCUUCUGCUGCAUGUUGGGGGUUGCUAAGCUCCGGCGGUUGUGGUUGGACUCGCGGCCUUUCAGUUUGUUGGUGGGGUAGUGGUCUACCAAGCCGGCGACGGGUAGCCUGCGUGAGAGGGUGAGCGGCAACAGUGGGACUGGGAUACGGCCCAGACUCCUACGGGAGGCAGCAGUAGGGAAGAGUGAACAAUGGGCGCAAGCCAGAGGCAGCAAGGCCGAGGGCGGGAGGAGGGCCUUCGGGUUGUAAUCCGAAUUAAGCAGGGAGGAAGCAGUAUGUGACGGUACCUGAAGAAGAAGCACCGGCUAACUACGUG
rnacentral:rRNA from 1 species